rnacentral:rRNA from 1 species
CCUACGGGAGGCAGCAGUGGGGAAUAUUGCACAAUGGGGGAAACCCUGAAGCAGCGAAGCCGCGUGAGUGAAGAAGUAUUUCGGUAUUGAAAGCUCUAUCAGCAGGGAAGAAUCAAGACGGUACCUGACUAAGAAGCCCCGGCUAACUACGUGCCAGCAGCCGCGGUAAUACGUAGGAGGCAAGCGUUAUCCGGAUUUACUGGGUUUAAAGGGAGCGUAGACGGUAUGGCAAGUCUGAAGUGAAAGCCCAGGGCUUAACCCUGGGACUGCUUUGGAAACUGUUAGACUAGAGUGCUGGAGAGGUAAGUGGAAUUCGUAGUGUAGCGGUGAAAUGCGUAGAUAUUAGGAGGAACACCAGUGGCGAAGGCAGCUUACUGGACAGUAACUGACGUUGAGGCUCGAAAGCGUGGGGAGCAAACAGGAUUAGAUACCCUUGUAGUC